UGGGUUUCUUUUGGGGGGGGGGGGGAUUAUAUUCAGCACCAAUGUUCCUCCUAAUUCUUCAUGUCUCUGAGUAAACACACAAACUCCCUGAGUAUUCACCUGACCUCUGUGAGCAACAUCACAUGUUCACACUGAGGCUACAUUACGCCUGUCCAACACCUGAGAUUAUAACAAGUUACAUGGUUUACUAAAAGAAUCAAAUUACAGCAAUAAUCUCUUUUAGAUUACCUAGUUUAGAAACAAUUAAUUUAGCCUGAUUCCAUGAAAAGGACAACAGUAGACUCUCACUAUUGGACUGUAAUGUAGCCAUGGGGAAUGGUGAAAGCAUUUCUGCUGGAAUGUCAGUCCUUUUUGUGAUACUUUGUGUUUCUAUACACUGAGGAUGUGGUUGGUAUGGCUUUGUCCAGUGAAUAAGAUCUGAACUAAAGCAUGCUGGAUCCCUUCCCUUCCAUUGCUGGCAGUAAGGUCAUCAUGGUCUGCUCCAUCCUCCUUCCCUGUGUCGCAUCUAUACACAAGGAAACAUUUGUGACUCCAUGUCCCAGCAGGCUUUGCACCUGCCUUUCUGUUCUGUGCACAGGCUCCAGCAGUCUUAGCUCCUCCCACGCAGUAUAAAGAGAGUGGAGCUCAAACCAUGCUCUUCUUUAGCCGCUGAUUUCUGAGAGCACAUUCUGACUGCUUUUGAGACACUUCCUGGCAAAUCCUCCUCCCCCACCUCACUGGAAGCCAUCAAUGCACGGUCUUGCAGUCUUUGGCUCUAUAAUUACUGCCAACACAACAUGGAUACCAGAUUGAAUGCUCCUGUAAGAAUGCUAACCUCUGAUCAAGAUGUCUUUCUCUGGACCCAGGACAUUGUGACAGUGGCUGAGGGGCACGCUUUGAAGGUUGUGCUGGAAACAAAGAAAGCCAAUCUUUCUAUUUCAAUCAGGUCUAACUGUGGCAGGAUCCAAAGAGCCUGAAAGCUUGCCAUACCUCCACCCUCAGCAGACUUCAGCUCCUUGGCCUCCUGGAUUUGAGCAACAAGACUUUGGAGCCUUUGUGACGCAGCCGUUCUGCGCUCCUCCAAAACACUCCUUUGUUCUCUUGAAGGUAGAACAUCUUGUCAGUUUCCUCCUGGGCUUUUCAUGCGGCACACAGCACUUCCAGUUAGCUGUGCAGAGCUGCCUGCUCAGCCCGCUUUUCUGACACAUCCUGUUCCUCUGCAGAAGUCUGCCUACUUGUUGCAGGGCUUCUACUAUCUCCUCAUUCCCCGUGAUCAGCUCCAUUCUCUGCUGAAGUUCUCUCCUACUGCAGAUGAGACCAGAGUAAAACCCACAUGAGGUCCAUGUACCGCUGAUCACACAAUAAAUCAGGUCACAGAAAAGGCCUGAAGCCUUGUAAUGUGUAGCCUGCUGCAUGUCUUCAUUACUUUGCUUGUCCGUUUAGCUAACCUUUGAUAAUAAAAUAAUAAAAUUAUGUUUUAUUGACCAUCUUCCAGCCAAAAUAUGUCAAGAAAUAACUUCUCUGUGAAUUUUGAGGUCUUUCUACGGCUAACCGCAGCAAUUACCUAAGGUGACAGAUUUUAUUUCUAAUAAGACCUUAACAGAGAUGCUGUUCAUAACAAAUGAAGUAAUUUUUCUCCAGACUGUAAGAAAAAGAUUUCUGGAUGUUAUGACAGAAGUUCUCACUAAUGUAGGAAGACAGUUUUUCUAAAAGGGAUUUGCUGAUGGGCUCACCCCCCCCCCCCCCCCCCCCCACAUUACAGUAGAAUCCAUUAAGAUUUAUAUUUAAAAACUGUUUAAAUGCAUACUUUGAAACAUAGAAGUUACAGGAGCCACAUGUAAUUUGCUGCAUUUCAAGAACUAUGUAAAUAAAGCAAGUUACACAUUCCCAGACAGGUUAUAAAAAGUAACAAAGAUAAAUUUAUUCUAAUAUAUCUAACCACUCUUAUUUACAUUUUUGCCUAUAUUGCUCCUUUGUGAUUUUUGAAAUCAUCUAUUGAGUCUACUUUUAUAUCUUUAAAUAUUUUAAUUUUCCUGAACUCCUUGUGUAAAAACGUUGGUAAAAUAUAGUUGCUUUUUAAAAUAAAAUAAGUGUGUACAAAUACUCUUAAUGUGACUUAACCCCAAGACAAACGUUUCUGACAAAGAAUUUUUUUUUUUAAAAAUUGCUGAACUGAAAACAGUUUAAAUACAAUUACUAUAACCAAAUCAAAUGUAGAGCAUAUUUUUUGUUUUAGAUGUAAAUAAAGACUAUGAAAAUGUUUGGAACCUCUAGUUGUGUCACUACAAACUCCCUUUAUUCCCCCAUUCAGGUGUUUAAACACCUUUUGAACUAAACAGAGCCUUUUAAUGAAGAACAAAUGCAGAGCUGGUUUACAAGUGGAAGAUGAUCUUAGAGUUUGUUUGUCAUCCAUGCCUCCAAGAAUAAACUGUGUGGGGAGAGACAGGCUCAUCCUUCUCACUAAUUGUCAAGA